UACGUAGGGUGCAAGCGUUAAUCGGAAUUACUGGGCGUAAAGCGUGCGCAGGCGGCUUUGCAAGACAGAUGUGAAAUCCCCGGGCUUAACCUGGGAACUGCAUUUGUGACUGCAUGGCUAGAGUGCGGCAGAGGGGGAUGGAAUUCCGCGUGUAGCAGUGAAAUGCGUAGAUAUGCGGAGGAACACCGAUGGCGAAGGCAACCCCCUGGGCCUGCACUGACGCUCACGCACGAAAGCGUGGGGAGCAAACAGG
rnacentral:rRNA from 1 species